CAAUGGGGGAAACCCUGGAUGCAGCGCACGCCGCGUGAAGGAAGAAGUAUCUCCGNUAUGUAAACUUCUAUCAGCAGGGNAAGAUAGUGACGGUACCUGCACUAAGAAGCCCCGGCUAACUACGUGCCAGCAGCCGCGGUAAUACGUAGGGGGCAAGCGUUAUCCGGAUUUAUUGGGUUUAAAGGGAGCGUAGGCGGACGCUUAAGUCAGUUGUGAAAGUUUGCGGCUCAACCGUAAAAUUGCAGUUGAUACUGGGUGUCUUGAGUACAGUAGAGGCAGGCGGAAUUCGUGGUGUAGCGGUGAAAUGCUUANAUAUCACGAAGAACUCCGAUUGCGAAGGCAGCCUGCUGGACUGUAACUGACGCUGAUGCUCGAAAGUGUGGGUAUCAAACAGGAUUAGAUACCCUGGUAGUCCAAGGGCGAAUUC
rnacentral:rRNA from 1 species